rnacentral:rRNA from 1 species
AGUGAACGCUGGCGGUAGGCCUAACACAUGCAAGUCGAACGGCAGCACAGUAAGAGCUUGCUCUUACGGGUGGCGAGUGGCGGACGGGUGAGGAAUACAUCGGAAUCUACUUUUUCGUGGGGGAUAACGUAGGGAAACUUACGCUAAUACCGCAUACGACCUACGGGUGAAAGCAGGGGAUCUUCGGACCUUGCGCGAUUGAAUGAGCCGAUGUCGGAUUAGCUAGUUGGCGGGGUAAAGGCCCACCAAGGCGACGAUCCGUAGCUGGUCUGAGAGGCUGAUCAGCCACAUUGGAGCUUGACCACGGUCCAGACUCCUACGGGAGGCAGCAGUGGGGAAUAUUGGACAAUGGGCGCAAGCCUGAUCCAGCCAUACCGCGUGGGUGAAGAAGGCCUUCGGGUUGUAAAGCCCUUUUGUUGGGAAAGAAAAGCAGCAGGUUAAUACCCCGCUGUUCUGACGGUACCCAAAGAAUAAGCACCGGCUAACUUCGUG